rnacentral:rRNA from 1 species
CCUACGGGAGGCAGCAGUGGGGAAUAUUGGACAAUGGGCGAAAGCCUGAUCCAGCAAUGCCGCGUGAGUGAAGAAGGCCUUAGGGUUGUAAAGCUCUUUCACCGGGGAAGAUUAUGACGGUACCCGGAGAAGAAGCCCCGGCUAACUCCGUGCCAGCAGCCGCGGUAAUACGGAGGGGGCUAGCGUUGUUCGGAAUUACUGGGCGUAAAGCGCGCGUAGGCGGCCUGUCAAGUUGGGUGUGAAAGCCCGGGGCUCAACCCCGGAAUUGCAUUCAAAACUGACAAGCUAGAGACCGAGAGAGGUGAGUGGAAUUUCCAGUGUAGAGGUGAAAUUCGUAGAUAUUGGAAAGAACACCAGUGGCGAAGGCGGCUCACUGGCUCGGUACUGACGCUGAGGUGCGAAAGCGUGGGUAGCAAACAGGAUUAGAUACCCUGGUAGUCCACGCCGUAAACGAUGAGUGCUAGACGUCGGGAGGCAUGCCUUUCGGUGUCGCAGCUAACGCAUUAAGCACUCCGCCUGGGGAGUACGAUCGCAAGAUUAAAACUCAAAGGAAUUGACGGG